UCUUUUUUCUUUUUUUCCAAAAAAAGAAAAAGAAAAAAAAGGUGCUUCGUUUUGCGUCUCAUCCAAAAUUAGAAAAGAAAAAAGGAUAAGAGGGAGAGCGAGCCUUAUCCAAAAAAACUUGAGCUUCCCGGUUCCUGACUGGUAAUUAAUCUGGUAAUGAUGAUGCGCAUGGCGAGUCGUGGUCCUUGCCCUCCAAUUCCGUCCAUCAAUAUGGUUUCAAAGUGCUCCGCUUUUUCUACUUCUUCUUCACCUUCAAGUAAGUCAGUGGGGAUUAUAAGAAGAGAAUUAAUGUUGAACGGAGUAGGGGCUCUGCUUCCAGCUCUUGUAAUUCAACCAACACAUUUACAUUCAGCUGCUGCUAAAGAGGUGGAAGUAGGCUCCUACCUCCCUCCCUCACCCUCUGACCCUUCCUUCGUCCUCUUCAAAGCCACUCCAACUGACACUCCUGCUCUGCGUGCAGGAAAUGUGCAGCCUUACCAGUUCAUACUCCCGCCCACUUGGAAACAGACGCGUGUAGCUAACAUUUUAUCUGGUAAUUACUGCCAGCCUAAAUGUGCAGAGCCUUGGGUUGAAGUCAAAUUCGAAGACGAUAAACAAGGCAAAGUCCAGGUUGUAGCAUCCCCCCUCAUUCGCUUGACUAACAAACCCAAUGCCACUAUUGAAGAUAUUGGCACCCCUGAAAAGUUGAUCGCGUCCCUUGGACCUUUUGUCACCGGCAAUACAUAUGAUCCUGAUGAGCUUCUAGACACUUCUAUUGAAAAGCUCGGUGAUCAGACGUAUUACAAAUAUGUACUUGAGACUCCACUUGCUCUGACGGGUUCUCAUAAUCUUGCAAAAGCAACAGCAAAGGGAAACACUGUAGUGUUGUUCGUAGCUAGUGCAAAUGAUAAACAGUGGCCAACUUCCCAGAAAAUUCUUAAAGCCAUGCUUGAUUCUUUUCAGUUGCGGCACUCUUGGUAACGAGAUGUAAAGCUUUGUGCAUAAGAUUUCUUGAUGAUGGCCUGUUGCUCUUUCCAGCCAUCUCAUCUCUUUACUCCAGUGCUCCAUCACAACCCGCAUCUGUUGCAAAUUUUGUCCACCGCUUCAAUAGAUAUUCAGAAGGUAUAUAAGAUAUAUUUCUUUCUUCAGGUACCUUUAAAGAAUGACUACAUAAAAUACCGAUUGAUUCAAAUUUUGCACAACUACAUGUAAUGGAGGGACCUAAACAAUCAAAUGUCACAACUUCAUCCUUCUUGUGCCCGUCCUCUAUCAAUUUGAACACAGGAACCAUCCCAAAACUAGUAACUUCUUCCAUUUCCGGUUGCAUGCUGUAAAGAAACUCAUCUUGGAACUUUCUGAACAUUGUUCCACUAUAUAUACGCUCUGCUUGCUUCUCUAUCUCUCUUAUUGAAAUCAAUGAAACCCUUUUAUUGCAACGUAAAUCUUCAAUUGUUUCUUCUAAGGGCCUUCAGUCUGCUUCCUUUUCAUAUUGAUGAAGCUUGGUAAAGUCAUGAUGUCACUCGCUGAAUUUUGAAAAACAUGACGUUCAUGCUAUUCAAAAUUGAUUGUACUCCAGCAAUGAAGAUCUUUUUACAGGAACAAAUGAGACCAUUUCUCUAUUAACAUGAAUAGCCUAUUAAACCAUGAAUUUUUGCGAAGAUUAUAUUUGUCUAGUAACAGAUUCCACUGCAACUCAAAUUCUUGCUUUGAUUGACAUUCAAAAUACAUCUAUAGAAAUCGCUCUCAAAAUCAGAUUGCUUGUAAUAUGUAGAAAGGCGUCUUUUAGCAUUUUCCAUAGAUAUAACACAUACCAAGAUGAUGUUCUGUCUCUGGGAACACCACCUCUAAUGAGCUAGCAAUUGCUUGAGACUCGUUGGUAUAAAAUGUUUUUGGUCAAUGAUCGCCCAUAGCUUCCGUGAAUGUCUUGAACAACCAGACAAAGGAGUCCAUAGUUUCAUCAAACAAGAAAUCACAGCCAAACAAGAUGCAUUGCUGAUGAUGAUUAAGUCCCCAAAAUGGUGAACAAAGCAUAUCAUAUCUUUCCACUUGAAAUGCUGAAUUGAAAACUAGAACGUCCCCAAAAUAAUCAUAGUCAAUCCAUGCCCUGCCAUCCCUCCAGAAGAACCAUUCUCGGCAUCAACUCGGAUGGUAUAGAAAAAUGAGGAAUCUUCCACUUUCAAAUGUUUGAAGUAAUCUAUUAAGCCCUGAACAUCUUCAGCUGAAAUAUCAUUAGCAACAGGCUGCUUAUGCAUUGUUGAAGGAGGCUGAUGAUGAGAAUGCUUCACACUGCUCUGUGUUGUUGACCUGUCAAUGUCAUGAUUGUGGUCAAGAAGGAGGUCAGAGAUAAUCCAUUUGGCAGCUUGAAGUGUAAGUUGGACAUUGGCUUUGCAACCUGUUCUGGUUGAUUUUCUCUUAUACUUUGGCUGUUGUUGUUGGUUGAUCUGAAACCUUGUCUGGAACACAGUAAAAAUCGCGUUCUGAUGGUAUCCUUCCUUUUCUUACGUAGAAACCGUUUUGUUGAGCAUAAUUCUUGUAAAACUCAUAAGCCUCCUCUUCAGAUGAGAACUCCAUCCCAUAUUCUGGUGCCUGAUCCUUUAAAUAACUUCAACAACAUGCCUUUUCUCAACAGCUGUAGUAGGCAACUCGUAAUGAAUUUCAUUUUCUAGUU